rnacentral:rRNA from 1 species
ACAGAACUGUGGGGACACGUAAGGAAAGCGGAAGCCGGGAAUGGAAAGCCCGGUGCAAGCGGGGUACCAGUCACUUUGGCAAAUCCGGGUGGCAAUGGGAAGCCGUGAUGCGGAGCGAAAUAAAGUAGUGAAGUCCGUGAGCCAUGCGUCAAGAAAAGCCGCUAUUGUUUAUACCGUACCCGUACCGUAAACCGACACAGGUGGAUGAGGAGAGAAUCCUAAGGCCGGCGGAAGAAGCAUUGUCAAGGAACUCGGCAAAAUGGCCCCGUAACUUAGGGAUAAGGGGUGCCUGGGAAACCAGGCCGCAGAGAAUAGGCUCAAGCAACUGUUUAGCAAAAACACAGGUCUAUGCGAAACCGAAAGGUGAGGUAUAUGGGCUGACGCCUGCCCGGUGCUGGAAGGUUAAGAGGAGAGGUUAGCGGUAACGCGAAGCUUUGAAUUUAAGCCCCAGUAAACGGCGGCCGUAACAAUAACGGUCCUAAGGUAGCGAAAUUCCUUGUCGGGUAAGUUCCGACCCGCACGAAAGGCGUAAUGAUUUGACCGCUGUCUCGACAAUGCAUCCGGUGAAAUUGAAGCACCAGUGAAGAUGCUGGUUACCUGCGCCAGGACGGAAAGACCCCAUGGAGCUUUACUCCAGUCUGGUACUGGGACUCGGUAUUGCAUGUACAGGAUAGGUGGGAGGCUAGGAGAUGGUAACGCCAGUUGCCAUGGAGCCGCUGUUGGGAUACCACCCUUGCAGUAUUGGGUUUCUAACCAGCCGCCGUGACCCGGCGGUGGGACAAUGCCAGACGGGGAGUUUGACUGGGGCGGUCGCCUCCGAAAGGGUAUCGGAGGCGCCCAAAGGUUCCCUCAGAAUGGACGGAAACCAUUCGAAGAGUGCAAAGGCAGAAGGGAGCUUGACUGCGACACCGACGGGUGGAGCAGGUACGAAAGUAGGGCUUAGUGAUCCGGUGGUAUUAAGUGGGAAUGCCAUCGCUCAACGGAUAAAAGCUACCCUGGGAUAACAGGCUUAUCACUCCCAAGAGUUCACAUCGACGGAGUGGUUUGGCACCUCGAUGUCGGCUCAUCGCAUCCUGGGGCUGUAGUAGGUCCCAAGGGUUGGGCUGUUCGCCCAUUAAAGCGGUACGCGAGCUGGGUUCAGAACGUCGUGAGACAGUUCGGUCCCUAUCCGGCGUGGGCGUAGGAUAUCUGAGAGGAGCUGUCCUUAGUACGAGAGGACCGGGAUGGACGGGCCGCUGGUGCAUCGGUUAGACUGCCAAGUCUACGGCCGAGUAGCCAAGCCCGGAAGGGAUAAACGCUGAAGGCAUCUAAGCGUGAAGCCCCCCUUAAGAUGAGAUAUCCCAUUCGAAAGAAGUAAACCCCCUUGAAGACGACGAGGUAGAUAGGGCAGAGGUGGAAGUGCAGCAAUGCAUGGAGCUGACUGUUACUAAUCGGGUGAGGGCUUGAUC